rnacentral:lncRNA from 1 species
UUUGGUGAGAGACCUAGAACUGUUCUAGAUUUUUGGGUUAGGGAAAAACCAAAGAGAAGAGAGUCUUCAUCUAAUUUUUCUCUACCAUCCAGCAUCCUUCUUUGAUCCAUAUUCGACAUCAAAAAAUUUUGAGGUGAUCGAAGAAGGAGAUCAAGUCAGAUCUGCCAUCGAAGCCGAUUGCAUGAGCUAGCACUCACGCAGAGGGCUGAUCGAUCUGAGGGGCUUCGUGUGGACCAUCUGUA